GUGGGGAAUCUUGCGCAAUGCGCGAAAGCGUGACGCAGCAACGCCGCGUGGGGGAAGACGGCCUUCGGGUUGUAAACCCCUUUCAGGAGGGACGAAGGUUCGGCGGUUAACAGCCGUCCGGACUGACGGUACCUCCAGAAGAAGCUCCGGCUAACUACGUGCCAGCAGCCGCGGUAAUACGUAGGGGGCAAGCGUUGUCCGGAAUCAUUGGGCGUAAAGCGCGCGUAGGCGGCCCUGUAAGUCCGUUGUGAAAGUCAAAGGCUCAACCUUUGAAAGCCGAUGGAUACUGCAGGGCUAGAGUCCGGAAGAGGCGAGUGGAAUUCCUGGUGUAGCGGUGGAAUGCGCAGAUAUCAGGAGGAACACCAAUAGCGAAGGCAGCUCGCUGGGACGGUACUGACGCUAAGGCGCGAAAGCGUGGGGAGCGAACAGGAUUAGAUACCCCAGUAGUCC
rnacentral:rRNA from 1 species